CGUUAGUCUCCCUUAUCGGGAGGUUAUGUGGCCCAGAGUUGCGAAACUCUUCUCCUUUUUCCUGGGUUCAGGCUGACUCAGAGGGCAAGAGCCAAAUAUCGGUUUUCUUGGCCCCUUUAUUUUAACCUGAAUCUUUAAGCCUUAGUCUUAAACAUCCAGCAAGUCAUUCUUAUCAGUCUUAAACUAAGAGUACUGGCCUUUAACUUUAAUGUUUAUAACUUUACAGUUAAUUUUUUUUUAGUUGUACAUAACACAAUUUAUUUAUUUAUUUAUUUAUUUAUUUGAUGCUGAGAAUCAAACCCAGUGCCUCACAUAUGCAAGCAAGUACUCUCCUGCUGAGCCACAACCCUAUUCCCUUUACAAUUAAUUUAAUCCCUUUGAAUUACUGUCUACAGCUGGUGGCUUAAUAUCUCAAAUUAAUUUAGGUUGUGUGUUCUUGAAGUUACCUCUGCAAAACAUUAACAGACAUCAAUUAUAAGGAAAAUACAAAGUGAAAUAAACAAUAGUAAAAACCUAUUUAGCUUGUAUAUAAUCUUGAACCUUGGCUGAGUUAUACAUUAUAUCCCCUAUUUGAGAUCACAGUAAUCUUUACAAUGAAGUCAAUCUUUGAAUACAACUUUAAAUCAACUGAAGUCUGGCCUACUUUGAAGUCAUUCUGACAUGCCGUAGGGUGGGAGGUAGAGAGCCUUAUCUCAGCUAAGGCUGGGCUCUUCACAAAUCUUAGGUAAAGUAUUCUAGUUCUGAAGCUGAAAUUUGUCUCUCUUUUUAGAUAUCCUUUUAUAAAGUUUGCAUAUAUUGUUUCCUGAGUCUGUAUGAAAGUUUGCUAACUCAAUGUGACAUUACAUCUAAAACAUGAAUCAAGGAAAGGCUGAGAGCUCUUAACUUUCCUUUUGGGUGGAAAAGUGGCAAAAUGUUUUACAGUAUUA
rnacentral:lncRNA from 1 species